rnacentral:lncRNA from 1 species
AAUUGUAAUUAUUAUAGAGCUAGAUAGAGGCUGCAAUAUUGUUAAAAUCAGACGGCCGUGGUGAUGCAUAUAUACUGUAGAAUCAAAAGAGAGACCUUAAAAUGACCACUCACCUUCAUUGGUGGUUUAGGAAAUAUUUAUUAGGACAGCUGCUUUCAUCAAUAGAAUGCUACCUAGAGCAAUUUGAAGAAAAGAAAACAAGUUGCAAGUAGGAUAAAGUUGCGAAAGUGACAUAUAGUUUCCAACUACAAUUGUUGCUACGAAACAAAAACCACCAGUCAUCCCCCACUAGUAAAAUAGGGUAUUGCUCCAUAGUGCACAUCUGAAAUUCUAUGAAGCUCUUGUAAAUUUGUCAUUGUCUUGGACAUACCUUCUUGGUAGUUUCCAAGGCUAUGCUAAAGUUAGGUUAAGCUGUCACACUUUCUAUUUCCAAAGAUGUCCAAAAACAAUAUAUUAAUUCAUUUGCAUGAUGGGUUUUUCUCAAAGCACUCAAGUACUGAAAUGUAAUUUCCCGAUUACAAUUACAUAGCUAUCUUCCUCACUUUUUCUCUCUCUUUACUUUGAACCUCACAUUCUGUGUGAACUAUAUAUGUGAGGUUCCUUAACAAAGGUCAUUCCCAUACACACGCACACACUGCACCAAUUUUUUAUUUUUGAGUUCUGAAUGGGAGCUAGACUUACUACUUUUGAGAACAGGUCUGGUGUGGUGAUGGAAAUCAGAGUUUUCGUUCCACCAGCUCGGCCUGACCGGUAUCGAAAGAUCAUUAGUAUCAAACCAGGUGAAACCAAGAAAGUAGAGACCAUAACUUUAUGCUGUGAGGACAGAAAUCCUGAAAACCCUACAUUCUUAAUGGUUUUCAUGGAUGGUACUUACACUGGGGUUUCUUUACUGAAGUUCCACGUGGUGAAUUACGCAAAAAUUGUUGGCUAUCUUGAUGAAAAUGGUCUUGUCGUCCUGAAGGGCGUCAGACAUAGAUUGCCUGGUUUCUGCAGACUCAAGUUCUCUCUCUCUCUCUCUCUUCUCUCUCUCUCUCUUCUCUCUCUCUCACACCCACCCACACCCACACCCCACCCACACCCACACGCACCCCACAACACAGCACAAUUCUCAAAUCCGAUUUUGUAUGUACAUGUAGGUUUCGUUGAGAUUUCAAUAUUUUUUGUGUGUGAUAUCUUGUGAAGUUUAUACAGUGACGGUCCAUGUGACUGUAAUAUUAUUCACGGAAAAUACUUUGCUUGAAAUCAACUAAGAGUAGUUAAUGGGAUCCUAUUACUAGAACUCUAUUUCCUCAUAAUCUAAAUAUCUUGACAUAAUCAUAUGAAGGGUUUUUUAGAACUUCACAAGUUAGUAAUCAAUGAAGUCAAGCAGGCGAAUAUGAGACUUAGAAUCACGUCUCCUUAAUACUCCUGUGAUCCAAAUAUAGCCCUGGAUUGUAAAUGAGCGAUCAAAGUAGAUUUUGUUUUUUGAGUCCUAAAUUAUAUUGCUACCAAAACUGGGUUCGAGCUAACAUAUUUAUACCAGUUUAGGUAGUAUUGAACCAUUUUUCUCUAGUUUUAAUAUUGUGACUUGACUUUGUUCAUGCUUAAGUGGCUGUGGCUCGGUACUGUGGAUGAAAUACAGAGGAUAUGGCGAGGAGAAAUCUACCAAUGAUCAUCAGCGUGGUUUGGUACUGCUUUUCUCUUCUUUUUCUCGAUUGGAUCUUCUUUCUAACUUAAAUUUCUUGAUGUCACAAUCAUCAAUUAUCGUUCACCAUUUAGGAUCAAGUUUAUGGCACACGCACACUCAAGUUCGGCCAUUUUCAUCUUACGGAGAAAUUGCUUUCUACUUCUCAUGUGAUUGGCUGUUAUGAACGCUGAGGGGGAUGGACUGUUAAGUAAACACUUAGACAUCUAAAUAAAAACUACUCAUGGUGCUAGUAAUCGAUAUUCGCCCCUUCUGUCAUUGAAGAAAGAAUGUAUUUGAUCUGUAUAGUUUGUCACCAGAACUCUUUCGUAGGAACUUGUUUUAAAUCUUGAUGUUGUAACUAUGUUUUUGCCUAGUUACUUCUACAAUUUGGAUGUUUUGGAAUUUCCUAGAUCCGGGGUAAGCGGGCGGGAAGGACCGCAAGUUUUGCAGGGAAAUCAAACGAAGUCAGAUUUUGGAGUGAAUACAUUUGGAGAUAAAAACGACGUAGUUUUGGUUGGGAUUUUUUUUACCCAAGAAUCAAAAUGAUGCGUUUUGGACUCCCUGUCGGGUUGCGGAGUUGCUCCCGCAAGAAAUCCCCUUGAAUCCUAGACUCAGCGAUUGAGACGAGACAGCGUCUGAGGUCAGGGGAAAUAAAUUAGGUUGAUGUUAUUUGAAAUUUAGGAAAACUGGCGGAGAUUGACGGAAAAAAAUUUUUAAGGAAUGGAGAUUUGGUUGGAAAAAUUUUUGAAUUGAAAAUAAGAUUUUGAAAAAAAAAAAAAAAAUUCCUCCAUUUUGAGACUUGGGUGAAAUUACUCUCUAAAGAAUGAUUAUACAACUCUCCCCUUUUCCUUUGUUGGAACUUUGGGGAAGAGUGGAAAAUGACUAGAAAUUGUAAUUUUUCCUCUUCCUUUAUUUGUUUCUUUUAGUUUUAGGAGGGGACAGGAAAUUAAAAAACAAUUAGAACUUAUUAAAUUCUUAUUUUGAAAUCUUCCUUUUUUAUUUUUUUGUUCUUACUCUCUUUGUAUUUAAGUGGUUUCAAAUUUUCUUUCAUCUCUUCUAUAACCAAAUAAGGAGAAAUGAUUGUACUUUCUCAUUUUUAUUUUAUUUUCUUGCAAAACCCAAACAUCAAGAAAUUGUUUUCCUAAAAUAUUUUCCCUUCAAUCGAUUCUCUACUUUCUGUUCUUUGUGAUCCACGUGAAGUUCCAAACAAAGCCUUAAUUUGUUAAGUGGAAUUAAUUUAAAUUUAUAACAUAUAUAAAGUAUAUUGUUCUAGUUGCGAGUAGGACAGAAAGUUGCGAAGUGACUAUAGUUUAUAACUACAAUUGUUUGCUACCAAACAAAAACCACCAGUUCAUCCCCCACCAGUAAAAAUAGCGGUAUUGCUCCAUAGUGCACACUGACAUUCUAUGAAACUCUUGUAAAUUUGUCAUUGUCUUGGACAACCUCUUGGUAGUUUCCAAGGCGAGACUUAAGCUAGGUUAAGCGUCACACUUUCUAUUUCCAAAGAUGUCCCCAAAAACAAUAAUAAUUCAUUGCAUGGAUGGGUUUUCCAAACACCUCAAGUACUGAAAUGUAUUCCCGAUUACAAUUACAUAGCUAUCUUCCUCACUUUUUCUCUAUCUGUUACUUUGAAACCUCAAUUCUGAUAGAACUAUAUAUGUGAGGUCCUUAACCAAAGGUCAUUCCCACACACGCACCACUUGCACCAAUUUUAUUUUGAGUUCUGAAUGGGAGCUAGACUUACUACUUUUGAGAAACAGGUCUGGUGUGGAGAUGGAAAUUAGGUUUUCGUUCCACCAACUCGACCUGACCAGUAUUGAGAUCAUUUAGUAUCAAACAGGUGAAAACCAGAAAGUAGAGGACUAACUAAACUUUAUGCGUGAGGCCUAGAAAUCCUGAAAACUACAUGCUUAAUGGUUUUCAUGAUGAGUACUACACGGGGUUCUUUAUGAAGUUCCACGUGGUUGAAGAAUUACGCAAAAAUAUAUGGCUAUCUUGAUGCAAAUGGUCUGUCGUCCUGAAGGGCGGUUAGACAUAUAUGCCUGGUGUCUGCGGGCUCACGUCCUCGCACCCCACCCACACCCCAAACACAUCACAAUUCUCAAAUCCGAUUUGUAUGUACAUGGAAGUUUUUGUUGAGUAUUUUUGUUACGGAUUUUAUGCUCGAAGACAUUGCUUUGUGUAAUAAUUUUUAAGUUAUUUAUUAUUAAAUUAGUUAAAACUCAUGUUUAUUAUAAGUGCUUUUAUGAUAUUAUUCCUGAUAUAAAUAAAAGACACGUGCAUUUAAUAUUUUAGGUUUUGAUUCACAAAAGAGUGUGAAUGAAAUUUUUGCUGGGUACAAUAAACUCAGAUGAGUUAGAUAGUAACAUUAACGUAUAUGCGUUGAAUAUUAAUAUGAUGGAAUUCACGUUCUAAUAUAGAUAUUGAUAAUACUCCUGGGGUGGGGGGGGGGAAAAACAAGAAUACUUAUAAGGUUUGAUUAUGUCAAACUCUGCAAGGUGUGAAUUAUAAUCCGACAUAUCAAAUAUGUCAAGUGAAGGUCUAAAGGGAAUAAAUAUCUCUAUAAAUUUAAUUAUCAGUAAUUUAAUUUAAUAAAACAGGAUAUGUGAUCUUAACGCGGAGAUAAAAAGGUAUUAAUAAAAAUGAUACUCGAAAAUAUAAUUACUGGUUAUAAAAAGAGUGCAAUUAUAACUUAUUUAGUGGGGAUUAAUAAUAAUUUACAUAAAUAGGGAUUAAUCCUUGUUUGAUUAGGAAUCACUUAUUUAUGUAGGAAGUCUAGUCAGACUUAUUCCUUCGGUCUAUGUUGCCUUUAUAUAUACGCACUGUAUUAACAGUUAGGGUUACGAUAUAUUCUGAGAUUCAUAUUUUGGUGAGAGCGUAGAAUUCUAGCAGCCGCGAGCCCACUAUCUCUGGUGUAGGGCGAGGCUGAUACCUGUUGCUGUUCGGAAUCAACGGGGGUAUGUUCUGAUCAUGUAAAAGUUUUCUACUAAUUAGAUUAGAUGUUUUUGGUGUUACGAGCAACGCUCAACCAGAUCGUUAAAAAAUUCGUAGUUCCCAUCAAUUUCAAUAUUUUUGUGGAUAUCAUAUGAAGUUUACUACCGGUGACGGUCCAUUAUAACCGUAAUCUUGUUAUGACCUUGUUAUGAAUUAAUGUGGGGUCCGUAUUAAUUAUGCUGAGCAUUCUAUUGCCCGUGUGUUCUAUAAUUUUGAGGGAACCAGAAAUAAACUAAUUUCUCUCUUCUUUUUUUAUGUUGAGCAUUCUAUUGCUCAUGUAUUCCAUAUUUUUUUGCCUUUUUUUUUUUAAAUAAACACCAUGGAUGAGAAUAUUAUCGUG